UUUCCGUAGGUGAACCUGCGGAAGGAUCAUUAAUGAGUUGUCAUGGGGUUCGAUGCUGGCAGCCAGUUUUUGGAUGCAUGUGCUUGCCCUAACAAUCAUCUUCUUCCAAACACCUGUGCACAUUUUUGAGGGAGUCUUGAGUUGGUUGCCGCUCUUGGGUGAUUUUCUCACAUUCCCUUAAAUCACUAUACGCUAUUAACAAUGUUGAACGUGCUCUGUGCCGCAAGGCCAUUAAUAUAAUACAACUUUCAACAACGGAUCUCUUGGCUCUC
rnacentral:misc_RNA from 1 species